rnacentral:rRNA from 1 species
GUGCCAGCAGCCGCGGUAAGACAGAGGUGCCGAGCGUUAGGCGGAAUCACUGGGCUUAAAGCGUGUGUAGGCGGAUUUGUAAGUACCUUGUGAAAUCCCAUGGCUCAACCAUGGAACUGCUCGGUAUACUGCUUAUCUUGAGCCACUUAGGGGCAGUCGGAACAGAUGGUGGAGCGGUGAAAUGCGUAGAUAUCAUCUGGAACGCCAAAGGUGAAAACAGACUGCUGGGAGUGUGCUGACGCUGAGACACGAAAGCUAGGGGAGCGAACGGGAUUAGAUACCCUGGUAGUCC